AGUAGGAAGUCGUGGCUCAUCCCAAAUCUAUGCUACACAUCUUCUGCUUCGCCACCCGCUCCCUCUCGCCGGCGCCGACACAUGGGUCAGACCCUGCGCCGCACCUCGGGGCGCCUGACACCCCCUCCCCCGCCUCCGCCCCCGGCAAGCCCCCCGCGCGCCCACCCUCACCCGCCUCCACCACGGGCCGCACCAGCGGCUGCUGCUGGCGGCGGCGGAAGUCCUCCCCCGGAUCGGCUCGACGUGCCACAUGGAUUAGGAGGGCGGCCGGUGAUGAGGUAGGACGCUGGGCAGAGAGACGGCAGUCGUGCGGGAGUAACCUGGAUCCUGCAGCCGGCGGUGUGAGGAGCGAAUCAAGACGCCGCCAGGUCAUGCCCGACCUCGCGGGUGCAGGCCGACAGCAGCCGAUGACCCUCUCCCGUCUGCUGCACCUCCCUCUCCUAUUUCCUCCCACUUUCUCCAUCGGCGGUGGCGGCGGCGGCGGCAAGAGGAAAGAGGGUCCCAGGGGGAGACGCGGGCUAGGUCUCGCUCUCGCUGCCCACUCGCUUCGCUCCUUCUUAUCUCGCUGCUCGCCGGUUUUUUCCUUCGCGUGGCGCACUCGCUGUACUGAUGGUAUGACGGCUUCUGCAUCUUUCUUGGAUCUCGCUUAGCAUUCUCGUGUUGUGCCAUUUAACCUGGCUGUUGGUUCUUGAUGCCACCACAACUGUCGCUGCUGUGUGGCUUUGUUUAAAUGCUGAUGCCUGGAUAUUCUUAGGUUCUUGACCUGGCACAAAUGCUCUGAUUUUCUGGUCAUAUUGAGGUGCGGUUCUGAUAGACUAUGUAGAAGCUAUUUCAUGAUCCUUAGUGCUUCUUUUUUGGGCAUCGUCCUGCUCACGAAGAUAACGUGCAGACUAUUGAAUUGAAAUGCGACAUGCUAAUUAGGUAGUGGGUUCUGUUUCAUCUAAUGAAGUGUAGCAUGUGAAUUUCUGCAAAUCAGUUUUGUGAUCCCUUUGGGAUUUUACGAACUGAAAGACUAAAACCAACUACGACCAAUUUAGCAUGGGCUAUAUAUUGGGUUAAGUCAGCCAAUUCAUAAGUUUCAGAAUUUGUUGGUAUGAUCAUACUAUACAAGAAAACUAGGAAUGUCAGUUAACUUUAUAUCGGGUGUUUUCUGACACUGAAUAGCACCGUUGUCAGUAAGUUAUUGUUUCCGCCCGAGUGCAGCAGGGCAUGAACAGUCUAUCCAAAAUUGUUAUUGAAGUUUGCUCAUGACAUGAUUGACCAUAGAAUUUGGUAAGCUGUUGCAUUUUACGGAUUUUACUAUGAAGAACUCAGCGGCUGUUUGGAUUGAUUCCUACAGCUGCCCAUCCAAAAUAUUGAUCGUUGACCAAGCUGGUGAAGUCGUUUGGAUGAGCACUGAUUUUUUGACUCACCCAGCCCACCAGAUUUUAAUUUCUUGAUUUAUGUUUUUUCUAAACAAGAUGUGUGCAGAUCGGAUGAAGAAUACAAGAGGAAGGACCUUGAGGAAGACUGAAGAACAAUGUAUGGAUCUUCAAUUAUAAUGAUGAUCAUAGCAGGGAGAUAUACCAUACUAAGAGCAUGCAAAGAUAAGCACUGAUGUAGAAAUAUCAAGUUCGGAAGAGCACAAAACAAUAAAACAGUUGAUUAAGGCUUCACUUGGUAAUGACAACUCCAUGUGGUCAAAGGUUUGCAACCUGAUUUCCUUACAAAAUGUAGUUACUAGGGGAACCCAAAGUACUUAAUUUUAUAAUAGUUCAGUUUGUUUUUUCUGAAGCAUAAUCUUCUAAUUUCUGUGCUAAACAAUAAUGAGUAUUUGAAAAAUAGGGUUCAAACUAUUUGCAUUCUAAUUCCAGCCUUUCAGUACAUGAGGUACUGGCUGCUAGGCAGAUUGCUUUGUUUUUAAUUGCUGAGAUGCUCAAUAAUCAGGUCCACUAUUCAUGCCUAUGCACAGGAAGAUUAGUUUAAUUAAUCAUUCUUUUUUAUAGCAAUGAUUAGUUUGCUCUCAAAAAGAUGCUUUAGAAGAAUCUAUUCAGUUGUUUCUUGAAAAAGUUCUGCAUGUGGCAAAAGAUGCGGUGGCAAAGAUUUCAAAUGAAGCGAACCGAUGCAUAAAUAUUUUGUUGGCAAAAUAAGAUCCUUUCAGAUAUCUUGUUGUAUGUACAAAUCAUUUCUCUUUAUGUAUCACUGUUACUUUUGUUUCUGCUUCGUGCAUCCCUACAUAGUUGGUAUCAUGGGUUAUCAACCCCUCAAACUUGUUCUGCUAUCGGAUACCAACCAGAUCAAUUUAGUGUGAGAUUAGUUUUCAGUUGAACCAAUUUUAUAGUUGAAUAUGUUGCUUUGUUGGAACGUAUGAAGGUUUGAGAAGAAGUACAUUGCAACUUAAUGCAAAACCAUAUAACCAUGGUUCUUGGAAUC